GAUGAACGCUGGCGGUACGUCUGACACAUGCAAGUCGAACGGUAAGCCACCUUCGGGUGGCCUAGAGUGGCGAACGGCUGAGUAACACGUAGGAACCUACCCCUUAGUUCGGGAUAACGGGACGAAAGCCCCGCUAAUACCGGAUAAUAUCGAAAGAUUGAAAGGUUUACUGCUGAGGGAGGGGCCUGCGGGCUAUUAGCUUGAUGGUGAGGUAAUGGCUCACCAUGGCGAUGAUGGCUAGCUGGUCUGAGAGGAUGAUCAGCCAGACUGGGACUGAGACACGGCCCAGACUCCUACGGGAGGCAGCAGUUCAGAAUCUUGCACAAUGGGCGAAAGCCUGAUGCAGCGAUACCGCGUGGGUGAAGAAGGCCUUCGGGUCGUAAAGCCCUGUCAGAGGGAAAGAUAAUGACGGUACCCUCUAAGGAAGCCACGGCUAAUUACGUGCCAGCAGCCGCGGUAAU
rnacentral:rRNA from 1 species